UGAUCGGGGUUGCGGACAGUGUCUGGUGGGUAGUUUGACUGGGGCGGUCUCCUCCUAAAGAGUAACGGAGGAGCACGAAGGUUGGCUAAUCCUGGUCGGACAUCAGGAGGUUAGUGCAAUGGCAUAAGCCAGCUUGACUGCGAGCGUGACGGCGCGAGCAGGUGCGAAAGCAGGUCAUAGUGAUCCGGUGGUUCUGAAUGGAAGGGCCAUCGCUCAACGGAUAAAAGGUACUCCGGGGAUAACAGGCUGAUACCGCCCAAGAGUUCAUAUCGACGGCGGUGUUUGGCACCUCGAUGUCGGCUCAUCACAUCCUGGGGCUGAAGUAGGUCCCAAGGGUAUGGCUGUUCGCCAUUUAAAGUGGUACGCGAGCUGGGUUUAGAACGUCGUGAGACAGUUCGGUCCCUAUCUGCCGUGGGCGCUGGAGAACUGAGGGGGGCUGCUCCUAGUACGAGAGGACCGGAGUGGACGCAUCACUGGUGUUCGGGUUGUCAUGCCAAUGGCACUGCCCGGUAGCUAAAUGCGGAAGAGAUAAGUGCUGAAAGCAUCUAAGCACGAAACUUGCCCCGAGAUGAGUUCUCCCUGAGACUUUAAGUCUCCUGAAGGAACGUUGAAGACGACGACGUUGAUAGGCCGGGUGUGUAAGCGCAGCGAUGCGUUGAGCUAACCGGUACUAAUGAACCGUGAGG
rnacentral:rRNA from 1 species